AUUGAACGCUGGCGGCAUGCCUUACACAUGCAAGUCGAACGGCAGCACGGGGGCAACCCUGGUGGCGAGUGGCGAACGGGUGAGUAAUGCAUCGGAACGUGCCCAGUAGUGGGGGAUAACUAGUCGAAAGAUUAGCUAAUACCGCAUACGACCUAUGGGUGAAAGCGGGGGAUUCGCAAGAACCUCGCGCUAUCGGAGCGGCCGAUGUCUGAUUAGCUAGNGGCGGGGUAAAAGCCCACCAAGGCUUCGAUCAGUAGCUGGUCUGAGAGGACGACCAGCCACACUGGGACUGAGACACGGCCCAGACUCCUACGGGAGGCAGCAGUGGGGAAUUUUGGACAAUGGGCGCAAGCCUGA
rnacentral:rRNA from 1 species